rnacentral:lncRNA from 1 species
UACCGAUGUAGCUUUCACCCGGGAGUAUUCCAGAGUAUCGAUUUUCCACAGAGAACGUGAGUGUACUAAUUAAGAUCCAAGAUCGCCCAAGGAUAACUAUAUAAUUAUUUUUGGUGGAAAGAGAGGAAGUUUCCUGAGAGUUCUCUAGUUGAUCUAAGAAUCAAGAAUUACUUCAAGAUUAUCUAUAUCGGGACAUCAGAGCACUAACCACAGAAAGAGAUGAGAAGGGGGCUAGGAAGGUCUAACUACGGUCCUACAAACACCGAUCCGAACGUGGUGGAAUACGUCGACCGUUAGGGCUGUCACUACCCUAGGGCUACCACAACAAUCCACAUGAUUGGGUGCAAUUCCAGGUAAUUGCAAGACUAAACACCACGUCUAAUCUAUUAAUUACUACUCUAGCGUUAUAAAGACUAGAGCACUUGAUGCAAGCGGGAAUCCAAUAAAUAACUUGAAUGUAAAUAAAAGUAAUUAAAGAACUCAGGAUUAUGAAUUGAAGAACCUGGAGAACGAUGAAGAACAAACCAGAUGCUGCAAAAGUAUAAUGUUGAGGAAGAUCCGACAGAUCCGGCUCCUCCUCCGCUCUCCUCUUCUCUCUCCCUAUUUUCUAGAUUACAACUAGAACUAACUAGAACUAGAACUAGAGGAACUAGAACUGGAACUAGAUGAACUAGAACUAGAACUAGAUGAACUAGAGGUAGAACUAGAAGAACUAGAGGGAUCCUCUCUACUUGGAUGAAGAAUUGAAACCCUAACUUUGAUUCUGUAGAAGAGGUAUGAUCUCAAGGGGCCAGGGGGGUCUGGUUUUAUAGUCCCUUCAAGUGAAUCUGGGCCGUCGGAUCAAACCGACAUUGAUCGUGUGGUUUUCCUUGAAGUAUUAGGUCGGUGGAGUGUUGUCCCCGAAUUGGACUCUGUUUGGUCCAGGGGGGAGGGCGGGCGCCCAGUAAGGGAGGGCGGGCGCCCAGUGCCCGGCUCCGUUACGUCUCCCGUUCGGUCCCGUGGCUUCUGGAGUCUUCGAGAUGGUAGAAAAUUGCACGGCAUGUUAAUAUCUCUAUGUAAACCCGACGUGUGGGCCUUUCUUCCUUAUUUCCUGAUAACCCCCUGCAAAAAUAGACAAACACCAAAACUCAUGGAAUUCUGUUAGAUAAAACCCUAAGUCUAGGUGUUGGUUCCAUUUAGAUCCUUUUCCAUGAUUAGUUGAUGGUUAAAUGUGAUCAUUAAGGACCGUCAACAAGCUCCCCCAAGCUUAACCUUUGCUCGUCCCUGAGCAAAGAUAGACUCCAAAGUUUCUGCAGUGGUUUCAUGCCUUAAAAAUACACAUGCAUUUAAACAAGAUCUCAUCUCUGGGUUAGGGUAACUGUUAAGAUUUAAACUUACUCAUUUUACCUUCCACCAUGGGGCUUGCAACCGUCACCUAUGUCUUGAGCAGUUAAAAGAUAGAACAGUCUAGUCAAGCGCAAUGUCUCUUGUUCUUCGAUUAACUAUAGCUCUGGAGUGUUUGCAGAUUUUCAAAUAAAACUCAGAGAUUCCUUGUAUGACUCUCUCUAGUCUCUCUUUUGUGGUAUUUCUGGAUCCUUACCAAGGCAGUAAAGGUGUAUGCCUUCUCUCAAAGUAUGUGGUAUUUUUGGUAUGAGUCAUAGUGACAUUGCCUUCUCUCUCACCCUACUCUAAUAAGGUUUUGAUAUCUGGAGCUCAUAGGUGGGAGACAGCUAAUACAUACUUACAAGACAUUUAUUGCAUAGUCAAACCAUGGAUCCAGAAGAACAAGUCAAUAAGUCAAAUCAAGAUGUGCAUGUGUGGCGAAUGAAUGAUGCAUGGUAAUGAUGGUGAUAACAAUGGCGAAAGUCUAAUUCUACUUGUGCUCUUUUGAGGGGAUACAUACCUUUCUUGCUCUUUUGAAACUUUUUGAGGAGAAUGAGAUGCUCUAUAUAUAUAUUUUUUUUUCUUCUCUCAGGUGGGUAUCUUGUACCCCUAAUUCUACUGUCGGACACUUGUCCAUUUUCACCUCUCGUCUCAUUUUUUCUUUUCUUCGAGGUUCCGGGCACUUGCCCCUUUUUAUUUCCUCGUAUCUUUUUUUUUCUUCUCUUUUUUUUAUUAUUAGAGCACUCAUCUCCUGAAAUAAUAUAGAAAGUGGCAAUAACUAAGAUAACUUGAGCAUUUAUUUCACAGGGAAAAACAGAAAUGUUUUUGGCUAUUCUCUCCCAGAUUAGGAGUAGAAUAUUUUUGGGUGGUUCUGGAGAUGGAAAUGGAUAUAUGUGGAUGGUACUUCCUGAGUAGAAGCAGCAUGUAUGAGUGAACGUGCAAGUGAAUCUUGAUUUAACCACAUGACAAGCUCCUAAGGGUCUACACAGCUUGACCACACUCAAUGCUCAUAAGUAGUAAAGUAAAUGUGUGGUUCAUAGUCUAGCAAGCAUGUAUAUAUGGCUGUGGUAGGAAUUUAAACUCUCAUCAUACAGGAACUCAUCAUGCAACAUUUUAAAGAUUUUCAAAGAUAAAAUUCUCCAGAAAUCUAGCAUCUCUAGGAACAGAUAAACAGCAGCUCAACCUUCCCAUAUCAUAUCUGUUAACGACUUAGACUUUAGAUCAAGUACUCUCCCCACAAGUUCAGGUUUAGAGCAAAUCUUAAUUAAUAACAGUCAUGCCUAAACUUGAGAGAGAUUUCAAUUUUGAGAACUAGUCAUGGUAGAGCAACUACUCAUAAUUUCCAUGUGAGAGCUUAUCAUGAGGGUUCAUAGCAAAUUUUAUUUAUUUAUUUAUUUAGCAAACUAAGCAAAGAUAUAUAUAAGUACAAAAUCUUUAUUUGGGUUCUUAUGAUUAUGCAUCAUUUUAUUAUCAGAGUAAAGUAUAAACGUGAGUAGAAUACUUAGCUGGAUAAAUGGGGGUGCUCUCCCCCAAGCUGGAUUUUGACGUAAUUUCUUCUCAUGUAGCUAGCAGGUGGUGGAGGUGUAUUUGAAUGUCGGCAGCACCCUGACAGCGAUUAGGAUGUCCUCCGUCAGCUAGUCUUCUUUGAUCCUUGAAUUCUGUGGAGCUCAAAUAGACAACAAAGCUUUGUGGAACUGGUUAAGUGUUAGCAUAAAAUCUCUUAGCCGUUAUCAUGUUAAACUUCUCAAUAAAUGUUACGCUUUUUAGUAGGAUCACAAUCUUAUUUUUAUAUUUUUAUUUUUAUAGGACAGGAAUAUAUUUAUUUUAUUUUUACGCCACCAUAUUGAAUGUACUUAUGGGUUUUAUGCCAUGAGCAUACUCACAUGGGGCUUACUAUUUUUAACAUUUUUAUUUUCUUUUCAUGAUGAUAUGAACCUGAUUAACUAAGCAAACUAUUUUAAAUAAUUUAAAGGAAAAGGAUAACUACCAAGUUUACCUCUUGGCAAGGCGUUCGGUGUUUUUAAGUCCUCCGAACGGGACUCUCCAUUUUCUCAGUCGUCCUGGGAUUCGCUGGAUGGCGUAGUCGGUGGUUCCGGUGGAGCCUGCUCUUCAUGUAUAACUAUCUUUUUUCUCCACACCUGACUCGAUGCUACGGUCUCCUCAGGACAGUUCUGUUCAAGUUAUAUGUCUUCAGACCUUACAACUUCUCCAUCAUAGUCUACCCAUCUGUCCUUGAUGAUUUUGCCUUCUCUGGUUGCGGUUGCGCCGUCUCCUUCUUGUCCCGACCUGCUUAGAGUCUUCAACUAUAUAGUUAGGGUCAGUAAAAUAGUGGCGUACCUUCUCAGAGGUGAAGUGCAUGUGGACUUCUCGGGUUCCAAUGUAGAUGAUUGCUUUAACGGUGCUGAGGAACGGUCUCCUAAGGAUGAUGGAGGAUCAUACUUGUCUUCUCCCAUGUCAAUAACCUUCAAAUCAUUUGGAGCUAAAUGUAUGUUGGUUGUAGGGACAUAGUUCCAUGCAGGAGCUGAUAAGUGACUGCGGCCAUUAUGUUGAUGUUAGAUCCGGUGUCGUAGAGUGUCUUCUGAAAAGAAUAUCCAUUGAUUGUGCACUCGAUGCUUGGAACACCAGGGUCAUCCUUCUUGAUCAAGAAAGGUGACUUGAGUUGAUGAUCUUGACCUCCUUGAGCUGUAGUGACCAUCUUAGCUGACUCGGUACACAUUUGCUUGUUCUUGUUCCUCCUGUUGGUCCUCUUCCUUGGUUCAUGUCGGGAUUGCUCUAGGAUUUGUGUAGUCUUGUUUCUUGAAGGAAAACGUCUCCUUCUUCCCCUUGAUGUAGAAACUGAUCUUGGCAGCACUAGCGUAGAUGACAGCUCCCGAGGUGUUCAGGAAUGGCCUCCCUAGGAUGAUGGGUGCCCUCUCAUCAGUACCAGUCUCUAUCACCACGAAGUCUGCUGGGGCGUACAAGGUACCAACUCGGACAUAGAAGUUCAUCAAUAUUCCCCUGGGCAUAAUGUUGACGCUGGAGCCAAAGUUGUAGAGUGCUUCUGGGGAGUCCACCAUGUCGAUGGCCAAGAUCGGGAUGACAGUGCGUCCUGGAUUGUCUUUCUUGACCGGCAGAAGGUCAGUAAUUACUUCCACAAUGGGGUUACUCUAGUAGUUACGUCCUCAAGCAUCUCAGGGCAGUGAUUGCCUGAGUGUUCAGUAUCUCCAGUGUGUUUGUGCUCGUAGAUACAAGUUCUUCACUUGGUGGAGUCUGGAAGUUGUAAAACUCCUUCAUAUUUUGCUUGAAGUGUACCUACUCAUAGAGACAAGGUAGAGAUCAAGUGCAUGGGCCCUGUUGGUGGAAAACACCAACAGAACCAAAAGUGUAUUUGUUCUCUCAAACCUUAAGCAUAGUGAGAAAGACAAAGUUGAUGGAUAAUAAGACCAUGAGUGUAACAUUUGAAACAUUUGUCAGAUCAGAUCACUCAAACUUAUGGAAAGAUAAUCUAUCUAAGUAAAUAUUUUUUUCUUUACAUGACUAUCAUUUUCCAAAGAUUAAGUGUGCAACAUUUUAGUUCAUAUGAUUAGGAGUGUGGGAUCACAAAGAUGAAAGGACUAAACAUAUUGAAUCGAUUGGGUUGGUUAAUCUAGAGUUGUAAAUCAUAUAUGUUUGUCUCUUUUAUUCAUGUGAAUGCCAGAACCAAGGAGAAGCUUUAUAAAAGUGAUAGUCAAGUACCUUAAGAUGUUACCUUACUUGAAGAGUGAUGGUACAGUAUCACCUUGUGGAAGCUUUCCUUUCUUAGUGGUUGUGCAUCGUGUUUGUGGCACCCUCCAUGGAUCAUCUCUUGUG